GAGAAAGUCAGAUUCAGGGUUGCCUGGAGGGAAGGGCGUUGAGUGCGACGUCGGCGCAGCCUCUGUUCUCCUUGAAUUGCCUACCAGGAAUCCCCCAAGAAAUUCCCUUGCAGGGUCCGGCAGCCAGACCGAAUCUCGUUAUGAUGCCGAGGCUGGUCUAAGAUCCUCGCUGUCAGUCCGCCUUUACACUGUGUCGCCUUCCCCUCCCACGGUUCCAUCACUACCGGCCACAGCAUUUGCUGUCUGGAGCGCAGAAGUGGAUCCCUCCGCUCAUCACUGCACACAUGAAGCUUAAUAACCCAACAGUUCAACGCCAGAAUACACAGGACACAGUCCCUUACCCUAAAGAGCUUAUUAACUCUAUUGCGUC